rnacentral:rRNA from 1 species
CCCUUAGAGUUUGAUCAUGGCUCAGGAUGAACGCUAGCGGCAGGCCUAACACAUGCAAGUCGAACGGUAACAGGAAAUAGCUUGCUAUUUUGCUGACGAGUGGCGCACGGGUGCGUAACGCGUAUACAAUCUACCUUUUGCUGAGGGAUAGCCCAGAGAAAUUUGGAUUAAUACCUCAUGGUAUUAUUGAUAGGCAUCUAUUAAUAAUUAAAGGUUACGGCAAAAGAUGAGUAUGCGUCCCAUUAGCUAGUUGGUGAAGUAACGGUUCACCAAGGCAACGAUGGGUAGGGGUCCUGAGAGGGAGAUCCCCCACACUGGUACUGAGACACGGACCAGACUCCUACGGGAGGCAGCAGUGAGGAAUAUUGGACAAUGGGCGAGAGCCUGACCCAGCCAUGCCGCGUGCAGGAAGACUGCCCUAUGGGUUGUAAACUGCUUUUAUACAGGAAGAAUAAGCCUUACGUGUAAGGUGAUGACGGUACUGUAAGAAUAAGGACCGGCUAACUCCGUGCCAGCAGCCGCGGUAAUACGGAGGGUCCGAGCGUUAUCCGGAAUUAUUGGGUUUAAAGGGUCCGUAGGCGGAUGAUUAAGUCAGGGGUGAAAGUUUGCAGCUCAACUGUAAAAUUGCCUUUGAUACUGGUCAUCUUGAGUUGUAUUGAAGUAGGCGGAAUAUGUAGUGUAGCGGUGAAAUGCAUAGAUAUUACAUAGAACACCAAUUGCGAAGGCAGCUUACUAAGUACUAACUGACGCUGAUGGACGAAAGCGUGGGUAGCGAACAGGAUU